CGCUGUAUAGCUCAGGGGUUUGAGCGGGUGCCCCAUAUGCAGAGGCUGCAGUCCUCGCUGCAGCUGGCCCCCGUUCGAUUCCCGAGUCCAGUGA